AGAUGUGGUAAAUUUUGGCUCUUUUUUCACUUGGAUCAUAAUACUUACUUUGUUGUCCUCAAUCUGACUUUCAAGCUGAAAUAAUUUAUCUGAUGUUGAAAUUGAUCCUGGCUUCUCCUCCAUGAUGUCUUUGUGCGCUUUGCCAAGCUCUCUAGUUGUUGAUAAUAUGAUACUCUGCCUUUUGUGUGCAGGGCUGUUGGUGUUAUGACACUUCACCUUUGAUGUACACCUAAAAAAUCUCCCAAUUUGGAAUUUCUGUAAUUCAGUCAACUUACAAUUCUUCCUUGAAUCAUGAUAUUUCGAGGUUAGUAGAGAG
rnacentral:lncRNA from 1 species